rnacentral:rRNA from 1 species
AUCCGUUGAUCCUGCGGAAGAUUGCUGCUAUUAGGAUUCGACUUAGCCAUGCAAGUCAAGGGGGUCUUCGGACCACCGGCGAAAUCUCAGUAACACGUUGAUAAUCUAACCUUAAGUCAAUGAUAACCUUGGGAAACUGAGGCUAAACAUUGAUAGGAGAUAAACAUUGGAAUAUGUUAUCUUUCAAACUCCGGGCUUAAGGAUGAGUCAGCGGCUGAUUAGGUUGUUGGCGGGGUAAUGGCCCACCAAGCCUUUGAUCAGUAGAGGCUGUGAGAGCGGUAGCCUCGAGAAGGGCACUGAGAAAAGGGCCCUAGCCCUACGGGGUGCAGCAGGCGCGAAAACUUUACAAUGCACGAAAGUGUGAUAAGGGAAUCCUGAGUGCUAAUGCAAUGCAUUAGCUUUUGCCAAGAGUAAAUAUCUUGGCGAAUAAGUGGUGGGAAAGACUGGUGCCAGCCGCCGCGGUAAUACCAGCGCCACAAGUAGCAAUCGCGUUUAUUGGGCCUAAAGCGUCCGUAGCUUGUCUAAAAAGUUUUUUGUGAAAUCGUCGGGCUCAACCUGACGGCGUGCAAGAAAAACUAUUAGGCUUGGGACUGGGAGGAGUCAGAAGUAUUCCUUGGGGAGCGGUAAAAUGCUAUAAUCCUUGGAAGACUACCUGUGGCGAAGGCGUCUGACUAGAACAGAUCCGACCGUGAGGGACGAAAGCUAGGGGAGCAAACCGGAUUAGAUACCCGAGUAGUCCUAGCUGUAAACGCUGUGAGCUAGGCAUUGCAUAAUCAUAAGGAUUAUGCAGAGUCGUAGUGAAGACGUUAAGCUCACCGCCUGGGAAGUAUAGUCGCAAGGCUGAAACUUAAAGGAAUUGGCGGGGGAGCACCACCAGGGGUGCGGCGUGCGGUUUAAUCUAAAUUCACACAGAGAAUCUCACCAGGGGCGACGGCAGAAUGAAGGUCAGAUUGAAGGUCUUACCUGACGAGCCGAGAGGUAGUGCAUGGCCGCCGUCAGCUCGUGCCGUAAGGUGUCCUGUUAAGUCAGGCAACGAGCGAGACCUGUAUCUACAAUUGCUACCGAGUUCUUUAGAAUGAUCGGGCACAUUGUAGAGACUGCCCUCGAAAGGGGGAGGAAGGUGCAGGCUACUGUAGGUCUGUAUGCUCCGAAUCUCCUGGGCUACACGCGCGCAACAAUGGUAGAGACAAUGGGCUACAACUCCGAAAGGAGAAGUUAAUCCUCGAAACUCUAUCCAAGUCCAGAUUGAGCUCUGUAACUCGAGCUCAUGACGAUGGAAUCCCUAGUAAUCGGACUUUAUCAGAGUCCGGUGAAUAUGUCCCUGCUCCUUGCACACACCGCCCGUCAAACCAUCCGAGCAGGGUUUAGAUGAGGUUCAGUUUUUUGAUUGUAUCGAAUCUAAACUCAGUGAGGGGGGUUAAGUCGUCACAAGGUA